rnacentral:lncRNA from 1 species
UGGCCGGGAUACGAACUCAUGCUACUGAGAUAAUUUGGCACCAAAUUGCAGUGCACUAUGCCCGACGCUAGACCACUCGACCACCUAGGUUCUACAUUAAUAAAGCUUUUGCUGGCCAGAUGUUACCUUUCCUCGUUAGUUUUGAUCUAGCGUCGUAACACGGUAUAUGAUAUAUACAAAAAUGUAAGUCAUGACGAUGGAGUUUUUACAGAUAUUAAACUGAAUUAUAAAUAUUUUUAAAAAAAAUAUAUUAUCUC